CCGGAUCGACUUCGGCGUGACCUCGACCAGUUCGUCGUCCUGGAUCCAUGACAGCGCCCGGUCGAGCGUCAUGCGGAUC
rnacentral:sRNA from 1 species